CACCGCCGAAUUCCUUCCCUUCUCUUCUCACGAAGCCACCCUCUCCUCCUUCGUCGAACCCUUUCCCCAAAUCCAUCGGCCAGUUUCUUCCUUCUCCCUCUCGUGAGUUCCCGCACCCCAGCCGCCGAUCUCGCUCCCUCACUCGAGCACCACAACCGCCGUCAUCUCCUCCUCACGCGAGCACCAUAGCCGUCGGCCUCGCUCCCUCGCACGAGCACCAUAGACGUCGCUGGCCUCUCCUCCUCACGUGAGCACUAGAGACGCCGCACCACCACCGGUACAACGAGCUAGCGGCCAACACGACUCCUUUCCAUCACAUUCUGUCGUGCCCUAAUAUCGAGUUCCUUGGCGAUUUCCUCCUUCGUCAGUCACUAGGUUUCGUUGAGGUGGGUUCCAGCCAAAGAGGAAGCUGUGGACACCAAGAUUUGUGAAUUCACAGCGGCACCGACCCUAGACCUUCGGCAGGAGUUACCUCCGGUUUGUAAGUAUUCUCCAACAGCCACUGUUCCGGGCCGUGGGUUAAUAAGGGAGACCUCAUAGUAAGGGACUUUGACUUACGACGAGUCACUUGACAGGUGGAUAAGUUUGGACGCUCGACCUAUAUUAGAGGUAGCAGGUAGAUGAAUCAAGGAUGCAUGGAGAGUCCUGGUUGUCAGUCCCAUUACACAUUCGAGGACAGUUUUCCUUUCGGUCUUAUUACUGUUUGGAUGGUAUAUUAAUUUAAUGUAUUUGCUUUCUAAUAAGUUGAUGUGGGUUUGGAGUCUAGUCAGGUGGUUGCAGGUAUUUUAGUUAAUGACUUUGUUGGUCUUACAUUCAUAUUUUUGUUGUGAUGCCCACUAUGUUUACUUCCAGCCAUGUGGGUUGUUUAUAAACUGCGUGGUUGUGUGUAAAUAUAGCUGUGUGGGUUGAUGA